UUGCUUGUUGGGGUUGUAGGACACUCUAUACGGAGUUACAAAGGACGACAUUAGACGAAUCAUCUGGAAAGAUGAAUCAAAGAAGGUAAUAAUCCUGUAGUCGAAAAUGUUGUCUCUCUUGAGUGGAUCCUGAGUACGACGGAGCACGUGAAAUUCCGUCGGAAUCUGGGAGGACCAUCUCCUAAGGCUAAAUACUCUCUAGUGACCGAUAGUGAACCAGUACCGUGAGGGAAAGGUGAAAAGCACCCCGGAAGGGGAGUGAAAUAGAACCUGAAACCGUGUGCUUACAAGUAGUCAGAGCCCGUUAAUGGGUGAUGGCGUGCCUUUUGUAGAAUGAACCGGCGAGUUACGAUUUGAUGCAAGGUUAAGCAGUAAAUGUGGAGCCGUAGCGAAAGCGAGUCUGAAUAGGGCGUUUAGUAUUUGGUCGUAGACCCGAAACCAGGUGAUCUACCCUUGGUCAGGUUGAAGUUCAGGUAACACUGAAUGGAGGACCGAACCGACUUACGUUGAAAAGUGAGCGGAUGAACUGAGGGUAGCGGAGAAAUUCCAAUCGAACCUGGAGAUAGCUGGUUCUCUCCGAAAUAGCUUUAGGGCUAGCCUCAAGUGAUGAUUAUUGGAGGUAGAGCACUGUUUGGACGAGGGGCCCCUCUCGGGUUACCGAAUUCAGACAAACUCCGAAUGCCAAUUAAUUUAACUUGGGAGUCAGAACAUGGGUGAUAAGGUCCGUGUUCGAAAGGGAAACAGCCCAGACCACCAGCUAAGGUCCCAAAAUAUAUGUUAAGUGGAAAAGGAUGUGGCGUUGCCCAGACAACUAGGAUGUUGGCUUAGAAGCAGCCAUCAUUUAAAGAGUGCGUAAUAGCUCACUAGUCGAGUGACACUGCGCCGAAAAUGUACCGGGGCUAAACAUAUUACCGAAGCUGUGGAUUGUCCUUUGGACAAUGGUAGGAGAGCGUUCUAAGGGCGUUGAAGCAUGAUCGUAAGGACAUGUGGAGCGCUUAGAAGUGAGAAUGCCGGUGUGAGUAGCGAAAGACGGGUGAGAAUCCCGUCCACCGAUUGACUAAGGUUUCCAGAGGAAGGCUCGUCCGCUCUGGGUUAGUCGGGUCCUAAGCUGAGGCCGACAGGCGUAGGCGAUGGAUAACAGGUUGAUAUUCCUGUACCACCUAUAAUCGUUUUAAUCGAUGGGGGGACGCAGUAGGAUAGGCGAAGCGUGCGAUUGGAUUGCACGUCUAAGCAGUAAGGCUGAGUAUUAGGCAAAUCCGGUACUCGUUAAGGCUGAGCUGUGAUGGGGAGAAGACAUUGUGUCUUCGAGUCGUUGAUUU
rnacentral:rRNA from 1 species